rnacentral:rRNA from 1 species
CUUAAAAUUUAGCCCGACCUAAUUACCUCUUAAACCUCAACUAAAAUAUUCUAAUAGUCUAGUAAAGAAGAUUAAAAAACCCUCAAGAGCUAUAAAUCUGUACCGCAAGGGAAAGAUGAAAUAAAUGAAAUAACCUCAAGCACAAAAAAGUAAAGAUUCACUCUUGUACCUUUUGCAUCAUGGUUUAGCUAGUCUAAUUAGGCAAAAAGAUCUUAAGUCUAACCCCCCGAAACUAAGUGAGCUAAUUUAGGGCUGCUUACUGAGCUCACCCGUCUAUGUUGCAAAAUAGUGGGAAGACCCUAAAAUAGAGGUGAAAAACCUAACGAACUUAGUUAUAGCUGGUUUCUCAAGAAAAGAAUUUAGUUCAACCUAAAGUAACUUUCAACCCUACUAAUUUCCCCUCUUUAGAGUAAUUCAAACGAGGUACAGCCCGUUUGAUUCAGGACACAACCUUCACUAAUGGGUAAAAAUCAACUCACAUCUUUAAGUAGGCCUAAAAGCAGCCAUUUUUUAAAAAGCGUCAAAGCUUAGUCUUGUUUACACUAAUUUUAAAUUCAUAUUUACCCCUUUAACCGUAUUGAGAAUUUUUAUAACCCUAUAGAACCUUUUAUGCUAAAACUAAUAACAAGAGAAAACCUCUCCUUAAUGCAAACAUAAGCCAGUAAGGAUCUACCACUGGCAAUUAACAUGCAAAGUAGUAACGCCGCCCCUAGAAAAUCCUACUUCACUCACCGUUAAUUUAACACUAAAGCAUUUCAAGAAAGAUUAAAAGGGAAAGAAGGAAUUCGGCAAACACUAGUCCCGCCUGUUUACCAAAAACAUCACCUUUUGGCCCCCCCCAUAAGAGGCCUGCCUGCCCAGUGACUCUGUUCAACGGCCGCGGUAUUCUAACCGUGCAAAGGUAGCGUAAUCACUUGUCUUCUAAAUAAAGACUAGUAUGAAAGGCACCACGAGGACUAAACUGUCUCCUCUCUCUAAUCAGUGAAUCUAAUCUCCCCGUGAAGAAGCGAGGAUAAAGAUAUAAGACGAGAAGACCCUGUGGAGCUUAAAACAUUUAAACACUUGCCUUUCCCCCCCCCCAUCACUCCGGUCAUUCUCUUAAAGCAUCCUGAUUUUAUGUUUUUGGUUGGGGUGACCGCGGAGAAAAAUCCAUCCUCCACAAUGAAAGGGGACCUCCCCAGCAAUAAGUCACAACUUUACGCAUUAAAAAAUUAACAUUUCGACCCAGUACACUGAUCAAUGAGCCAAGUUACCCCAGGGAUAACAGCACAAUCCACUUUGAGAGCCCCUAUCGACAAGUGGGCUUAUGACCUCGAUGUUGGAUCGAGGUAUCCUAGUGGUGCAGCCGCUACUAAAGGUUCGUUUGUUCAACGAUUAAAACCUCACGUGAUCUGAGUUCAGACCGGAGCAAUCCAGGUCAGUUUCUAUCUAUAAAGUGCUAAUUUCAGUACGAAAGGACCAAAUUAGCAUGGCCUAUGCUAACGCAAGCCUUAGUUAAUCAUUUUUAAACCCCACUCAAAAAUAUUUAACCUCUAUACCCAUUA